UACGUAGGGGGCGAGCGUUGUCCGGAGUUACUGGGCGUAAAGGGCGCGCAGGCGGUCUGUUUUGUUUGAGGUGACAGUGUCCAGCUUACCUGGACAAGUGCUUCAAAGACGGGCAGACUUGAGGGCCUCAGAGGGAUAGGGAAUUCCAGGUGGAGCGGUGAAAUGCGUAGAGAUCUGGAGGAACACCCAAGGCGAAGGCACUAUCCUGGGAGGCAACUGACGCUGAGGCGCGAAAGCCAGGGGAGCGAACGGG
rnacentral:rRNA from 1 species